UACGGAGGGUGCGAGCGUUGUCCGGAAUCACUGGGCGUAAAGGGCGCGUAGGCGGUUCGUUAAGUUGCUGGUGAAAUCCCGGGGCUCAACUCCGGGGCUGCCAGUAAGACUGGCGGGCUAGAGCACGGUAGAGGCAGAUGGAAUUCCCGGUGUAGCGGUGGAAUGCGUAGAUAUCGGGAAGAAUACCGGUGGCGAAGGCGUUCUGCUGGGCCGGUACUGACGCUGAGACGCGAAAGCGUGGGGAGCGAACAGG
rnacentral:rRNA from 1 species